rnacentral:rRNA from 1 species
AUUGAACGCUGGCGGCAGGCCUAACACAUGCAAGUCGAGCGGCAGCGGGACCUUCGGGUUGCCGGCGAGCGGCGGACGGGUGAGUAAUGCCUAGGAAUCUGCCUGUUAGUGGGGGAUAACGCGGGGAAACUCGCGCUAAUACCGCAUACGUCCUACGGGAGAAAGCGGGGGCUCUUCGGACCUCGCGCUAACAGAUGAGCCUAGGUAGGAUUAGCUAGUUGGUGGGGUAAUGGCCCACCAAGGCGACGAUCCGUAACUGGUCUGAGAGGAUGAUCAGUCACACUGGAACUGAGACACGGUCCAGACUCCUACGGGAGGCAGCAGUGGGGAAUAUUGGACAAUGGGCGAAAGCCUGAUCCAGCCAUGCCGCGUGUGUGAAGAAGGUCUUCGGAUUGUAAAGCACUUUAAGUCGGGAGGAAGGACUGUAGGCUAAUACCUUGCAGCUUUGACGUUACCGACAGAAUAAGCACCGGCUAACUUCGUGCCAGCAGCCGCCGUAAUAC